rnacentral:ncRNA from 1 species
GGUGGAUGUUGGUACAUGUCCGUUCUUAGUUGGUGGAGCAAUUUAUCUGGUUAAUUCCGAUAACGAACGAGACAUUAGCCUAUUAGAGAGGUGCGUGGUUCUCUGCACCUUACACCCUUCUUAGAGGGACAAGCGGCUCCUAGCCGCACGAAGAAGAGCACUUACAGGUACUUGAGGCCCUUAGAUGUCCGGGGCCGCAAGCGCACUACACUGAAGGAAGCAGCGUGUUUUUAUCCCUGUCUGUUAAGACAGUAAGCUUACAAAAAAGUGGCUUGAGCAAAUACAGG